GAAGAGAGCUUGCUCUUGGAUUAGUGGCGAACGGGUGAGUAACACGUGAGUAACCUGCCCUUAACUCUGGGAUAAGCCUGGGAAACUGGGUCUAAUACCGGAUAUGACCUGUCACCGCAUGGUGGUGGGUGGAAAGAUUUUUUGGUUUUGGAUGGACUCGCGGCCUAUCAGCUUGUUGGUGAGGUAAUGGCUUACCAAGGCGACGACGGGUAGCCGGCCUGAGAGGGUACCCGGCCACACUGGGACUGAAACACGGCCCAGACUCCUACGGGAGGCAGCAGUGGGGAAUAUUGCACAAUGGGGGAAAGCCUGAUGCAGCGACGCCGCGUGAGGGAUGAAGGCCUUCGGGUUGUAAACCU
rnacentral:rRNA from 1 species